GAUGAAGAACGUAGCGAAAUGUGAUAAGUAGUGUGAAUUGCAGAAUUCAGUGAAUCAUCGAAUCUUUGAACGCACAAUGCGCCCCUUGGUAUUCCAUGGGGCAUGCCUGUUCGAGCGUCAUUUGUACCUUCAAGCUUUGCUUGGUGUUGGGUGUUUGUCUCGCCUUUGCGUGUAGACUCGCCUUAAAAUAAUUGGCAGCCGGCGUAUUGAUUUCGGAGCGCAGUACAUCUCGCGCUUUGCACUCAUAACGACAGCGUCCAAAAGUACAUUUUACACUCUUGACCUCGGAUCAGGUAGGGAUACCCGCUGAACUUAAGCAUAUCAAUAAGCGGAGGA
rnacentral:misc_RNA from 1 species